ensembl:lncRNA
AGUUCCAUGAAAGAAGAGGAAAGGACAGUUUGUGCUUGAUGUUUAACCUGCAAUUCUGUUUUCCAGAAACUCUACAGAUUAAUGGCUUUGAUUAUAUUUUAAGAACUCCCAGUGUGACACAACGAGCUAUCAACUCCUGCUGCUAUCCUCUAUAGAAGGCCAAACUCUGUGCUGUUAGGUUGCUUCAUCAGCAGUAUAAAUCCAAUGUGGUGCCAAAGACUGCAAAGGAACAGCUUUACCGGCAGGUAACACAGCUUCUCUGGAGCCAUGGAAAUAAGAGAACAAAAGUUCCUCACAGCUGUCUGCAUAAACAACAAAUGGCCCGGCACAGUGCAGACUGCAGUACUUCUCUGUUUCUCCCACUGCUGAGAACACGCAGUUUUAGCACUGAGGAUGCCAUCGGAGAAGCAGUGAGGGAAGUAACAGAGACAGCAACUGUAGCACUGCUACAGGAACAGCCAAAUCUAUAUUCCUAACCAAGAUUUACUCCAACUCCCUGGAGCUGCAAGACCCAACUAUUACACAGGACUGCACAAGUUUAACAUCUGUGAACGCACGCAGAUUGCUGCAGCCAGCAGGUCAGGCUAUGGAUCCCAACUACCCAGUGGGAAACUGGAAUACUUCACAGUUCAAGGAAAAUCAGAGUUCAAGCCUAGAUUGAAAUCUCACCCAACCCACUGCAAAUCCAAAAAUAGACCUGAAUUGCUCAAAUUUACACUUAAUUGGCUGUACAGGCAGACUCAUUUUAAUUACGGCACAGUAUUGACAGGGUAAUCAUCACACAAAGGAAAACCUUACUAUGCUUUGGGCAUCUUUAACCUGGUAAUAAAAACAACAGCAUAAUGCUGCUGGGAGAAAAGCGACCACGUGCUCCUCGCCUUGCACCCAGCGCACAACGCCUGAGCCAGCAGCACGGAGAGGUGGGCUGCAGAGCAAAGCAUUCUCUGCUUACACGGAGUUGGCCCUUUCUCUCUGGACAGUAAACAACAGCACCCAUCCUCAGUUAUGAGUAAGGAAAAACCACCACUUGGUAAUUAAAUAACCUGGCAUCUAACGUUUAAUCUCCCUGAACACCUGUCACGUCUCAGCACCCUAUGAAUAGUGAACAGGUAGGACCAAGGAAAGCAAAGACUUUAUUUUUAAAUACAAUUACGUAUUCUAGGAUCAGGAAGCAGUACUAAUCAUAUACAUCUGCAGCAUCAUGCACAUAUAAUGGCCGGUUAACAAGCAUUUUAAUAUUCAUGUCUUAUUAAAUAUGC